AAAUGCAAAAAGAAGGUGAAAAAUUUCCUUAGGAUAUUGUGAAGAUUGAGUAUAAUUCCAAACAGCCAAACCAACAGGACAACUUACGAGAGUAUACAAACAGAUGAAACAGCUAUGUCAUGGUUGACACAGAAGCCCUUGGAAAGACCUGCACUAUUAACUGGACUUCACCAGAGUGGACUAGAAGUGGGUAAUCGUUCCUCCGGAAACUUGGCAACACCCGGAUCCCACUGUCUCAAAAGGCCUACACUGCGGCUGGGAGGGGAGGGGGAUGUUGCAAGUUAACAAAAAGAAGCAAAGAAUAAAAGACAAAAUAUAGGGCAGAAGCAGAACUCUUAAGUUACUCCGCUCCCAGAAGAGAGAAACCAAGUAUGAUGGUCAAAAAACACUUCCGCUGAACUCCCUGAACUACUUCCCUCUUCCCAAGACUGAGGUUUUGCUAAAUCAUCUUGAACCGAGAACGAGAGUCUACCUCCAGGAUGGGAAGAAGGGGAGGCCCAUAAAACACUGAGCACCAAGCAUGGGACCUCAUCGUCUGAUUCCGCUCUCCAUCCCUCAGGCCAGAAGGGACUGGACCUAGAUCCCCCGGUCUUAGAUUUCUGACUGCUCAUCACAGGUUCCCAUGGCAACGGUUCAUUCCAGCCGCGAUCCUGGAAGGUCCUGGGACGCCUGGCGCUGGGCAGGCCCAAGCGAACCGGCCGUGAGGCGCCAGGAAGACGUGCGCACUCCCCUCGCGGGAUCGUCCCCACUGCUUUGCAACGGGGGGCACAGGCAUUGUUACCCUCCCGUCACCAGCCACCAAACCGAGGCUCCGGCCACCAAGUGGGCGGACCCCAGCCCCGGAUCCCGCCCCCUCCCCUCCCCCCCAGCCGGUGGGCAUCCGCCGGCGCGCGCCCUCCCGGUUCCUGCCAGCCCCUCUGCGGAGCCUCCGUGACCCAUCGGGGACCCCCGGGGCCGUGGCCCUCGCUCACCGGCCGGGGGCUCGCGCAGGCUCAGGCGCACGUUCAAGUACUCCACCUCCGAGGCGGCGGCCGGGGAUGCGGCGCCAGGGCUCGGGCCCCAGGCGGCAGUCGCUCGGCCGUGGGCCUCCAGGCGCAGCGCGCGCAGGGCCACCGGCUCGGCCGCCUCCAGCAGCACGUGUCCCGCCACCGUCUCGCCGCUCGAGUAGCAGCCCUUGCGCUCAUCCUCGAACACCAGACCCAAGCUCUUCACGCGGCCCUCGGAGCCCACGGCCGCCGCGGACCCCGCCUCGCCGCCCAUCCCGCCGGGCGAUGGGGCCGCGCCAGGGAGGUCGGCAGCUGCCCGGAGCCGGCCUGGCGAGCGGAGGGGCGCCGCUGUCACGGGCGCCCGCCGCACGCUGAGGGCCGCUGCGGCCGCUGUGCGGUACCGGGUGAAGCCCUGGCGCGCCGCGGGGCCUAUCGCUUUAACAAACCCCGGUGGGCCUGGACAGGGGCCAGGACAGCCCACCCCCGGCGCGCGCCCAUAGGCCGGCUGUGAGUCCUGCCUCGUGCCGAUUGGUUGUAAAUGGCCACUGAGUCAUUUCAUAGGCGCUCCCACGCACCGGAUGGCGCAGGUGGAGAAGAGCAAAGGGAGAGGGAGAGAGAGA